rnacentral:rRNA from 1 species
GAAUUUUCCGCAAUGGGCGAAAGCCUGACGGAGCAACGCCGCGUGAGGGAGGAAGGCCUGUGGGUUGUAAACCUCUUUUCUCAGGGAAGAAGAUCUGACGGUACCUGAGGAAUCAGCAUCGGCUAACUCCGUGCCAGCAGCCGCGGUAAGACGGAGGAUGCAAGCGUUAUCCGGAAUUAUUGGGCGGAAAGCGUCCGCAGGCGGCUCAUCAAGUCUGCUGUCAAAAUCCAGGGCUCAACGCUGGCUGGGCAGUGGAAACUGGUGAGCUUGAGUACGGUAGGGGUAGAGGGAAUUCCUGGUGUAGCGGUGAAAUGCGUAGAUAUCAGGAAGAACACCGGUGGCGAAGGCGCUCUACUGGACCGUAACUGACGCUCAUGGACGAAAGCUAGGGGAGCGAAAGGG